AUUAGUUCUUAGUUUCAUUGAAGAAAAAUUUUAUUUUAUACAUGGCUGGGUGUAACAUUUUUCUUCAAUGAAACUAAGAACUAAUUUUUGCUGUAAAAACUUACAACAUUUGAGAUAACUGGCUUCCUAGACUUGGUUAGAUACUAGGAUAUCUCCCUCUUCCACACAAGAGGGCAACAAACUUCAAGGGACCAAACUAUGGAAGUAAUAUUUACAACAGGAUCACCUUUUCAUAGGAAAACACCAAUGAAUUGGAGUUUGUAUAAUUUGUGCACAAGGAGUGUCUCCAGCUGUACCAUAACUAAUGGCCGAAGCUAGACUCUGGCGAUUUCGAUGUUGUCAAGCCAUGAAACCAUCUGUGUUGUUGAAGGCCUCACUUUUGGGGAUUCACUUAAACAAAGGCAAGCAAUGUCAAGAACCUGUAGUAAUUGCUUAUCGUUCUGCUUGUCAUAAAUGAAUGGAUCGAAGACUUCGCUCUCUCUGUUCUCCUUCUUCAUUUGAAUUACCCAAGAGAUCAAAUCCCGUGAUCCUUUCGGCUUGCACAUAUCCAUAGGCCUUUUCCCAGUAAGAAGCUCCAAAAGAACAACCCCAAAACUAUAAACGUCCCCCUUAUAGGUAGCAACAGAAGCUUGGCCGUACUCGGGAGGGAUGUAGCCUAAUGUCCCUACAAGAUCAGUUGUCACAUGUGUAUCAGAAGGUAGUAUAAGCCUUGCAAGACCAAAAUCUGCUAAAUGGGCUUCAAACUUCUCGUCCAGAAGGAUGUUACUUGACUUGACAUCACGGUGAAGGAUAUGGGGCUCGCAUGACUGGUGCAGAUAUGCAAGCCCUUUUGCAGCCCCUCGAGCAAUUUGGAGCCUGGUAUUCCAAUCCAGCAAUGAUGGACCAUCAAUUUUUUCAUGUAACCAAUAAUCCAAGCUGCUGUUUACCAUGUAAGAGUAUAUUAAUAGCCUGUCAGUUUUGAACAUGCAAUAGCCUUGAAGAUGGACAAGAUUUGGGUGCUGAGCUCUUGAUAGGGUUUCAACUUCAGCGCGGAAUUCCCUCUCCACUUGACCACAGUCACCAGAGAGCUUUUUAAUAGCAACCUUUCUACCAUCAGGGAGAGUGGCUUUGUAAACUAGACCAAAACCUCCACAGCCAACGAUAUUUGCUUGAUCAAAGUUGUUGGUAGAUUUCAGAAGUUCCUCUAGGGAAAGCUCUUUAUAGUUCUCCUUAUUUUGGAACAGCACUACUGACAUGGAUCCAAGUUCUUCCAAAUCUUUAUCAAUGGUGUCAACCCCCUCUUUUUCAGUGUCAACCUCUCCUCCUCGCCUAUAUGCCCACAACACAAUCAUGAACAUGAGACCAAGCAGAAAAGCGGUCCCAAAUACAAUCCCAACAGCCAUUCCAAUAAUAAUAUCUUUGUUCCUUCUCGAUUUCAUGGGUGUAUCACUUGGAACUUUGUUAGGGUUUGCACAAAGGGGAGCACCAUGGUCACCACAAAGAUCAUUGCCUUCAAAGCUUGAGUUGGGGAAAGUCAGAAACUGACCUCCAACCGGAAUCUGCCCAGAGAGAUUAUUGUAAGCAACACUAAACUUUGAUAAAAAGCUGAGAUUUACCAAGGAUGAAGGUAUGGUCCCUGAAAGAUCAUUGUGGGACAAAUCGAGCAUCUCCAAGCUAGUCAUCAAUGAUAAUUCACUUGGUAUUGGUCCAGACAAAUUAUUAUACUUCAAGUCCAAAACAUGGAGCUUUUUCAGAUUCCCAAACUCUGCCCAGAUUGAUCCAGUAAGUAAGUUAUGAUUGAGGUCCAGUGUUGGUGGCAAACUCAAAACCUGAUUAUACUGCAAUGCCUUCUCACUUUCAUUCCUUUUCAUGUAAAAAGGGAAAUCUGGAGAUUGCUGCACCAACGAGAUACUCCUGUUAAUGAGGCUUGGCAAUAGAGUGAAGUUUUUGGGGAUCUCUCCAACAAAUGAGUUAUUUGAUAAGUCCAGAUAAAAGAGAUCCUGAAAAUCACCAAACCAGAGUGGAAUAUUUCCACUCAAACGGUUCCAUGACAAAUCUAACAACUGCAAAUUUCUGCUAUCCCUCAACCAAGGGGGGAUUGAUCCUGUGAGUCUACAACUAGCGAUAAUAAGUACCUUCAAGUGUUCAAAAUGGAGACUAGAAUGAGCAGGCAAUAGUUCAUCAUGGAAAUUGAAGGUUAGGACCAAAGUAGUUAAGUUCUUGCAUUGCUGCAAGAUUUGCAAGGCCGAUGAAAGAUUAUGGAUGCUGGUAUUUGAGAGGGAAAGAUAAGAGAGGCUCCCAAAAUUCUUGAAGGUUUCUGGAAUUUCGCCACUCAAAUUGUUCCGGGCAAGAUUUAUAUUCUUCAAAUUCAUACAAGAAGGAAGAUCAUCAGGCAGAGGUCCUUUAAACUUAUUAGAACCCAAAUUAAGAGAGUCCAAACUAAUCAUGGCAGAACAAUUAAGCUGAAUAGCACCAUCCAAUGAAUUAUUCCUCAAAUUGAGCAAUUUAAGUGAUGGAGAAUUAGCUAAAGAGAAG
rnacentral:misc_RNA from 1 species